AAAUUGAAGAGUUUGAUCAUGGCUCAGAUUGAACGCUGGCGGCAGGCCUAACACAUGCAAGUCGAGCGGUAGCACAGAGAGCUUGCUCUCGGGUGACGAGCGGCGGACGGGUGAGUAAUGUCUGGGAAACUGCCUGAUGGAGGGGAUAACUACUGGAAACGGUAGCUAAUACCGCAUAAUGUCGCAAGACCAAAGUGGGGACCUUCGGGCCUCAUGCCAUCAGAUGUGCCCAGAUGGGAUUAGCUAGUAGGUGGGGUAACGGCUCACCUAGGCGACGAUCCCUAGCUGGUCUGAGAGGAUGACCAGCCACACUGGAACUGAGACACGGUCCAGACUCCUACGGGAGGCAGCAGUGGGGAAUAUUGCACAAUGGGCGCAAGCCUGAUGCACAUGCCGCGUGUGUGAAGAAGGCCUUCGGGUUGUAAAGCACUUUCAGCGGGGAGGAAGGCGGUGAGGUUAAUAACCUCACCGAUUGACGUUACCCGCAGAAGAAGCACCGGCUAACUCCGUGCCAGCAGCCGCGGUAAUACGGAGGGUGCAAGCGUUAAUCGGAAUUACUGGGCGUAAAGCGCACGCAGGCGGUCUGUCAAGUCGGAUGUGAAAUCCCCGGGCUCAACCUGGGAACUGCAUUCGAAACUGGCAGGCUAGAGUCUUGUAGAGGGGGGUAGAAUUCCAGGUGUAGCGGUGAAAUGCGUAGAGAUCUGGAGGAAUACCGGUGGCGAAGGCGGCCCCUGGACAAAGACUGACGCUCAGGUGCGAAAGCGUGGGGAGCAAACAGGAUUAGAUACCCUGGUAGUCCACGCCGUAAACGAUGUCGAUUUGGAGGUUGUGCCCUUGAGGCGUGGCUUCCGGAGCUAACGCGUUAAAUCGACCGCCUGGGGAGUACGGCCGCAAGGUUAAAACUCAAAUGAAUUGACGGGGGCCCGCACAAGCGGUGGAGCAUGUGGUUUAAUUCGAUGCAACGCGAAGAACCUUACCUGGUCUUGACAUCCACAGAACUUUCCAGAGAUGGAUUGGUGCCUUCGGGAACUGUGAGACAGGUGCUGCAUGGCUGUCGUCAGCUCGUGUUGUGAAAUGUUGGGUUAAGUCCCGCAACGAGCGCAACCCUUAUCCUUUGUUGCCAGCGGUUCGGCCGGGAACUCAAAGGAGACUGCCAGUGAUAAACUGGAGGAAGGUGGGGAUGACGUCAAGUCAUCAUGGCCCUUACGACCAGGGCUACACACGUGCUACAAUGGCAUAUACAAAGAGAAGCGACCUCGCGAGAGCAAGCGGACCUCAUAAAGUAUGUCGUAGUCCGGAUUGGAGUCUGCAACUCGACUCCAUGAAGUCGGAAUCGCUAGUAAUCGUAGAUCAGAAUGCUACGGUGAAUACGUUCCCGGGCCUUGUACACACCGCCCGUCACACCAUGGGAGUGGGUUGCAAAAGAAGUAGGUAGCUUAACCUUCGGGAGGGCGCUUACCACUUUGUGAUUCAUGACUGGGGUGAAGUCGUAACAAGGUAACCGUAGGGGAACCUGCGGUUGGAUCACCUCCUUA
rnacentral:rRNA from 1 species